AUGGAGACUGGGCUGCGUUGGGUUCUCCUGGUCGCUGUGCUCAAAGGUGUCCAGUGUCAGUCGGUGGAGGAGUCCGGAGGAGGCCUCGUAAAGCCUGAGGAAACCCUGACACUCACCUGCACAGUCUCUGGAUUCUCGCUCAGUAGCAACAGCAUGGGCUGGGUCCACCAGGCACCAGGGAAGGGGCUGGAAUAUAUCGGAUACAUUAGUAGUAGUGGUAGUGCAUACUACGCGAGCUGGGUGAAUGGCCGAUUCACCAUCUCCAGCAACAACGCCCAAAGCGCAGUGGAUCUUCAAGUCCAGAAAUGA